UUAAAACUAGACGACGUUGGUAGACUGUUGGCAAAUAGUUGACAUUGUUGGCAGAUUGUUGGCAAAUAGUUAACCUUGUUGGCAUACUGAUGUUGGGCCAACAAAGACCCAACAUGUUGGGCCAACUGAGGGCCGAUGAGCAAAAUGACGUUGGCCCAACAUAGUUUUCCAACAUUGGCCCAACAAUGUUGCCAACAGAAUGCCAAUAUUGGCCCAACACAUGUUUGCUAUCUGGGCAUAU
rnacentral:lncRNA from 1 species